CCCAGGACUCACGUCCUGGGCUAUAUUCUGCCGCCCCUCCGGGGCU
rnacentral:sRNA from 1 species